CUUUUCAUAGAUAUUCCGUCAGUUUUAGUGAAGCUCAACAUAAAAGCGCCUGUUUGGAGUGUACUGCUGGCGAAAUCAGUCACCCAACCUCUGCCCACCUGGUUGUGUUUACUUUGUGUGACACAAGACUGAGGACACCUGAGGACAAGUUGAUAGUUAAACCUCAUUGUUAUUUGAUGACGCGCAGUUCAAGGUCCUCUACUUAUUUGAUCUUAAGUUUUUGACUAUAUCAGCCCAAAUCAGCAGAUGAAGCUUGGUUAAUUGUUAUAUAACUGUAGCUGUUUAAACUUACCAUGUGAUCAAUCUUGGAUACUUCAUGUCAGUCCACUUCAUGUGGCAGCAUUUCUGCAUAGCGACUCUACAGUCCUCUUGAGUGUCAGUGAUGGAAAAACACUAUCGCUACCUGCCAACAGUUACAGACGGGCAACAAGACAGGUACAGUCACAUUUUUAAAGCCUUCCCAUAAGAAGACUAAGAAAACAAAUCAACCUAUUGAAUUCACGUAGUUAUAUACAGUUAAACAGUACUGACAGACAUAGAGAGGUGAAGUCAGAGUUGUGAAGUGUUUUCAUUUUGAAAUGUGACAUAAAAAUAUUGUUAUUUUAGGUUCUCCUGUUCCAAAACUUUCAUUUUAAACUUUGACUGUGAAACAAAUGUGGCCUGUAAACGUUUGAUGUUAUCUUUGAUUUCAAGUGAGUCUCAGCAAUUUGGAGUGGAAAAAUGCAUUGUACCACAUGACCUGCAUAAAUACCGUGCUAUAUUUUAUAUAUUUUUUCAGUGUUUGAAAGUAGCUUUGACACAGUGUACAGUAUCUUUGCUUCAUUCAAUACAAACUGCUUUGAUGCUGAGGAAUUCAGAAAUACAUAAUGAGAAAAUUAACUGACCCGUUUUGUUCAACUUCAAUUAUGAGUCCAGUUAAAAGGACAGUGUCUGCACACUAAGAUGUGAAUGUUUAAUUAUAACCAGAACAAUACCAACGCAAUUAUCAGAAUCUUUGGACUGUCAGUUUCUCUCUAUGGUUAUUAUUAUGACAAUACGAAAGUUUUUUAAAUAAGUCUUUUCUUCUGUUAAUCCCCUGGAGGGUUGAACAGGUCAUAUCCAUUUAAAAGGGCUUGUGGCAAGAAAGAAAGAAAUAUGCACAUAUAUGUCGAUCUGCACAUGACCAUUUAUAGUAACUAAUAACCAUUAGUAGCGUAAUAUUCCAAAAUCGAAGGCCUGCACUUUCAAACAAAAAAAUAUAAAGUUAAGCUUUUAUGUCAUAAGCAGCACUACACAUGCAACGGCCUAGAGUGGUUUCCUGCUUACAUUCAAGCCGUAGCACAACUCAGAAAUUGUCAGCUCUCACAUAAUGCCUAAAACAAAAGAAUUAUGUGAAGCCACAAAGGCAGUCAUCUUGGCACUGCUGGAAAUUGGCAUGAGUGAGAGACAGGUAGUGAAAAAACUGAAGAUCUCCAAGACAGCUGUUCAUUACACCAAGAACAAGCCAAACAUGGUACUACCAAACUGCUAGCUGACCACGUAAAUUUUAUUUUCAUAUGAUGUGGUUAAUUUGUUUGUUUGUGCUGAGACCAGUAAUAUGAUUCAAAAACAGGUAAAAACUCUGAAUACUGUCCACAUCAAAAAUCUGUAUUUUUAUACAGGAUUGUUUGUGUUUUAGAUAAUUUUUUAAUGUAUAUUAAGGUUUAAAACAUUUUAAAUAAUGUCUGUAUAUUUUAGGGUUAAAGGUUUUAGAUAAAGAUGGUGACUGGGCCAUUUCUCAAAAAAUAACUGAAAUGUGUAUUUUUGGUAACCAUUUAGAUGAUGGAAGUAUUACAGUUUUUAUUCACGAUAUUUCAAUUUCAAGAACAAAAACAAUUGUUGCUUUGUAGACACUUGCUGGUAUUUGAAAGGAAAAUGAUGCAUGAUGUAUGUCUGAUCUAUCUAUUCCGACUUUAUUUAUUGUAUAUAGUUUGUUUGUACACUGGGAUUUAUGUUGGAUGUGAUUUGAACAGAUUUUAUUUGAAUGAAUCUGUUGUGAUUAUGUCUGGUCGAUCUAUUCCAACUUUAUUUGAAUCAUUUAAAUUUGAUUGUAUAUUUUUGUGGCCCUGUGAUGGACUGGCGAGCUGUCCAGGGUGUCUCUGCCUUCGCCCUGAGUCAGCUGGGAGAGGCCGAGUGUAGAAAAUGGAUGGAUGGAUGAAUGUAUUUUGUGUGUUUCCAACUGAACUCUGUCCUUGCCAGUGGGACUCAGGUCAGGGUGCCUUUCAGAGGUGUGGGUGGAUCUGGUUGGGAUCAACGCCCUCACAGUGAAGCUCCGCUCUGUCUAAAGGUGAGAAGGAUGCAGACAGCAUGUCAUGGAGUAGUAAUAUGUGUGUCUGCGUCCCAUCCUGGACCCACAGUGGAGUUCCACAGUGAUAAGGACCAGAGUUCAGGGGAAUCACACUGGGAGGGGGGGAGGAAGUUUUCUUGGGUCACCGCACAGUGGUGGCCCGUGACAAGGUAAGUUUUACGUUUAGAUUUUAUAUUUAUAAUACAAGAAGUUUUUAAAUCUCCAAUAUUAGUUGGUAAAUUUUGUGCAAGAUUCUCACACGUUUUCCUGUUGUUUUUUUCCAGCCCCAACCUCUGAUGACCCCGGGACUCAAAACUGCAAGAAGGAUGAGUAGAAGACCCCAAAGAUGAGACCCAGCUCCAGCAGACGCAUGAAGACGAGGAACCGAGCCCACCAGAGAUGAUCCUAGAGAUGACAACCAGCCUGCAAUGAGACGACAGGACAACUUUGUAAGGAGCAGAAUGCACUGAAAUAAGUCAUUUUGAAGAAAAGAUGGGAAACAUGUCCAGGACCAGUGCAUGAGAUGUGAGACCACUCAACUAAUACAAGAGCUCUCUCUUCAAGACAUCUCGUAAAAUGUAGAGUCAGAUCAAGACAAGAAACUGGAUAAGGAGCAGCCCCAGCAUGUGAACUCAGACUAUGGAAGAGGGGAUGCUUAUCAUAGUUACACAAAAGGAGGAAGUCGGAGUACAAAGAGAGGACCACACAGUCACAAAGAGAACAUGUAGAGAAAGAACCAGAUGACCAGCAGGUUGGUACCAAUAUAGAGAACAGAGAACAGGAAGAAGUUGACCAACAGCAUCAAACAGAGAAGAAGAAGAAACAGACCCCGGAAGAAGAAGAAGAAGAAGAAGAAGAAGCCCCAGAUUACUCCAAAGGUAUCUCUGGAUCUGGAGCUACAAGUUUAGAUCUGCUGUUACUGGCUUCACUGACCUGCAAAGAGUUCAUGUUCUCUCCCUCCUCUUUACCCUCAUCCCAAAUGGAGGUUUUUUGUCAACUUCCUGGCAACGGGAAGUUUUUUCCCUCCACAAUGCUACCAAAUGCUUGAUCUGAUCAAACUGCAAUAAGAGAGUCUUAAAUAAAAAGUCAGAACAAAAGACCUGUAUCUGUUUGUU
ensembl:lncRNA